CUUGUGCUUCGAGUUACGAUAAGGACGUGAGUGUAAUUAGAAUUUCGCAAAGACACGCGAGCCGUUUGCAAAAUAAUUGUUAAUAUUUAACGCGAUAAGAAGCUACGCGUAUAUUAUUGACCAACGCUUAUUUCUAUAAAAUGGCAAGUCUCCGCGUCAACUUUCGCAGAAGUUAAUAAAUCUUUAACGAAUUCUAAGGCCCCAGCUUUGUGUAACGCAGAAUAGAACAUCAUGUUCCGAUUAAUAUUUGCCUUCGCUAUUAUCACCUUCGCCGCAGCAGCUCCGCAACUUUUAACGAUUGCUCUCCAGGGCAGACCGUUGUUGGAUCUCGAUCUGGCAAACUUAGGCCGUUGAAUGCUGGAAACUUGAUCGAAGCAUCUGCGUCGUCCCGGAUUCGUAACGCGAAUAUGAAAAGAUUUAACGAGAAUUUUGGUGAGGGGGAGAUAAUAAAAUGAUUCGAAGUAUCGCGUAAAUGUUUUUUUUGUUUUCAAAUCAAAGGAUCUUGUAUUAUAACAAUAAGAAAUGUAAAUUCUAUUAAUAAACUGCAGUGUGCUACGGAA